rnacentral:rRNA from 1 species
AUUGAACGCUGGCGGCAGGCCUAACACAUGCAAGUCGAACGAGUGGCGGACGGGUGAGUAAUGUCUGGGAAACUGCCUGAUGGAGGGGGAUAACUAGUGGAAAAGGUAGCUAAUACCGCAUACCAUCAGAUCGGCCCAGAUGGGAUUAGCUUGUUGGUGGGGUAACGGCUCACCAAGGCGACGAUCCCUAGCUGGUCUGAGAGGAUGACCAGCCACACUGGAACUGAGACACGGUCCAGACUCCUACGGGAGGCAGCAGUGGGGAAUAUUGCACAAUGGGCGCAAGCCUGAUGCAGCCAUGCCGCGUGUGUGAAGAAGGUCUUCGGAUUGUAAAGCACUUUAAGUUGGGAGGCGUUACCAACAGAAUAAGCACCGGCUAACUUCGUGCCAGCCGCCGCGGUAAUUC